CUUAAUUUGACUCAACGCGGGGAAACUCACCAGGUCCAGACACAGUAAGGAUUGACAGAUUGAGAGCUCUUUCUUGAUUUUGUGGGUGGUGGUGCAUGGCCGUUCUUAGUUGGUGGAGUGAUUUGUCUGCUUAAUUGCGAUAACGAACGAGACCUUAACCUACUAAAUAGCAAUAUUAGCAUUUUUGCUGAUUAUGUGCUUCUUAGAGGAACUAUCAGUUUCAAGCUGAUGGAAGUUUGAGGCAAUAA
rnacentral:rRNA from 1 species